AUUGAACGCUGGCGGCAUGCCUUACACAUGCAAGUCGAACGGUAACGGGCCUUCGGGUGCCGACGAGUGGCGAACGGGUGAGUAAUACAUCGGAACGUGCCCGAUCGUGGGGGAUAACGAGGCGAAAGCUUUGCUAAUACCGCAUACGAUCUACGGACGAAAGCAGGGGACCGCAAGGCCUUGCGCGGACGGAGCGGCCGAUGGCAGAUUAGGUAGUUGGUGGGAUAAAAGCUUACCAAGCCGACGAUCUGUAGCUGGUCUGAGAGGAUGAUCAGCCACACUGGGACUGAGACACGGCCCAGACUCCUACGGGAGGCAGCAGUGUGGAAUUUUGGACAAUGGGCGCAAGCCUGAUCCAGCCAUGCCGCGUGCAGGAUGAAGGCCUUCGGGUUGUAAACUGCUUUUGUACGGAACGAAAAGCCUUCUUUUAAUACAGGAGGGUCAUGACGGUACCGUAAGAAUAAGCACCGGCUAACUACGUG
rnacentral:rRNA from 1 species